GGGGUUGGUAGCUCAGUGGUAGAGCACUCUCCUAGCAUGUGUGAGGUACUGACUGGGUUCGAUCCUCAGCACCCCA
rnacentral:tRNA from 1 species